GGGCUUCAAAGACGAGAAUGAAACCGGGAAUGCGAGAAAAGUUUGACAGUAGGAGAAAAAGAUUUCAUUGUUGCCCGACUGUUGUUGGCACACAUACUUAUAAUCCUUGUCGACCUCAAGCCAGACCUUUUAGUUGGAACACCCUUUCUGCCAGGGCCAGACAGAAACAUUUAUAAAAAUGGAAACCACAUUCAAGCUAUGUAUGUGUAUGCGACUACCUGCCACUAGACGGAGGUUGCAGUGAAUGAUCGUCAACGGACGUCAACGUGAUGGAGGAUGACGGAACGCAAAGGAGCAUUGGGGCAUAGCCCUUAAUCACCCACAAUCAUUCACUGCAACCUGCAACAAAGUAGAAAAUCAGUUAGCUGAAUAACAGAAAGUCUGAAAAAUAUUUUACUAUUACCAAUUUCUUGAUAGGACGCUCGCCAC